GUCAUGUGGGGAAAUACUUACACUAGGCGUCGCAGGCUGCGUGAUGUGCGCAGGGCCGCUGAGCGCGCCCAGAGCCUGGCCAAGGGGGCUGGCGCCGUUAGUGGCUAGCCAGGCGCCCAGGCGGCUUGGACAGAUUAGGAGAGUCCAGGUUUGGUAAGAUAGGGAUUGUUUAGAAAGAGAUUAUCAGGUUUCCUUAAGUUUAGAGGAUUAGUUUCCUUUCUUGUUGGGAGUCCAGGCUAUAAAGCCUUGUAAUUGGAGACCUUUUGAAAUCAAGCAAGAUUAAACCUAUCUCUCUUCUUCUUCCUCUCAAGCCGCCGGCCAGGGGGCAUAACCCGACCAGCGAGGAUAGGCGAGGGGGCAUAACCCCGCCAGUUAUCACGGACCAAGGCUACGAGCUACGUAGCCGAGGGCCGCCGUCGCUGGGCAAUAACGCCCUUGACAACCUGGUAUCACGGUCACGCCGAUCCUCGUCCAUCUCUCAAACUUCCACUGCCGCAGCCCACCCUGCCCUGCCGCCAACCCCUACGUCCUCCACUGCGUCCACCUGUCCCCCACCCGCCAUGGCUGAUCCCACCAUCGCCGAUGUCGUCGAGAUGCUGAAGUCCUUCAAGGAGGAGAUGUUCUCCAUGAAGGCCGACAUGCUGGCACUGAAGGAGAAGUCGGCUUCGACGUCCGAGAGCACGGGCGGCGGCCAGCGCGACUUGGAUCGUCCCCCCAAGUUCCAGAAGCUUGAUUUCCCGCGCUUCGACGGCAAGUCCGAUCCGCUGCUCUUCACCAACAAGUGCGAAUCGUACUUUCGGCAGCAGCGCACUUUGGCCGAGGAGCGCGUCUGGAUGGCGUCCUACAACCUCGAAGAUGUCGCACAGCUCUGGUUCAUCCAGUUGCAAGAGGACGAGGGCACUCCUUCCUGGGGUCGUUUCAGAGACCUUCUCCACCUGCGGUUUGGGCCGCCCCUGAGGUCGGCUCCGCUCUUCGAGCUCGCGGAGUGUCGCCGCACAGGUACUGUCGAAGAGUACUCUAAUCGUUUUCAGGCCCUGCUACCACGCGCCGGGAGAUUGGAGGAGACCCAGCGCGUUCAGCUCUACACAGGGGGACUGCUCCCACCCCUGAGUCACGCAGUUCGCAUCCACAACCCGGAGACCCUCGCUGCCGCGAUGAGUCUGGCGCGCCAGGUCGAGCUGAUGGAGUUGGAUCGCGCCCCAGCCGCGCUCCCGCCACCAGCCCCGCGCGCUGGUCCAGCACCCCGGCUGGCGGUCAGACCGGCUCCAGCACCCCUGGCGCUCCCGGCCCCGGCGCCGGCCCUGCCAGCACUCCCAGCACCGCCACCCAGGGGGGCGCCCAACCAGGUCAAGCGGCUGUCGACCGAGGAACAAGCCGAACGACGACGCCUCGGUCUUUGCUACAAUUGCAACGAGCCGUAUUCCAGGGGUCACAACCGGGUCUGCCGCCGUAUCUUCUUCAUUGAUGGGGUCGAGCUCGCAGACGACGAGGCCGUUCCCGACGAUGCCGCGCCAGCCGCCCCCGUGUUCUCCCUCCGCGCCGUCACGGGUAUGCCCAUCUGUGAUACGAUGCAGGUACGAGUGGCCGUGGGCGACGUCACCCUCACGGCGCUCCUCGACACGGGCUCUACCCACAACUUCAUCGCGGAGACGGCUGCGACGCGCACCGGCCUCCCUGUCCUCGCCGACCCGCGCCUCACCGCCACCGUCGCCAAUGGCGAACGCAUCGCGUGUCCAGGCGUGCUGCGACAGGCGCCGAUCAUCAUCGACGGCGAGGGUUUCUGCGUCGACCUCUACAUUCUGCCCCUCGCCGGUUAUGAUCUGGUCCUGGGCACCCAAUGGCUGGUGACCCUGGGCCGGAUUGAGUGGGACUUCACCGCGCGCACGCUGUCCUUUACCCGCCAGGACAGGCGCGUGUGCUGGUCCGACGUGGCCACACCCACGCCAGCCCUCACCGCCGCCGUGACUGCACCGACGACCCUCCUGGACGAGCUGCUGCUCGCCUUUGGGAGUCUCUUCGCGGAGCCGGUUGGUCUGCCCCCUCAGCGCACCCGCGACCACAGCAUCGUCCUCAAGCCCGGCGCGCUGCCGGUAGCUGUACGGCCCUACCGCUACCCCGCUGCGCACAAAGACGAACUCGAGCGGCAGUGCGCCGCCAUGCUGGAGCACGGCAUCAUACGACGCAGCGACUCCGCGUUCUCGUCCCCGGUCCUCCUCGUCAAGAAGCCGGACGGGUCGUGGCGCUUCUGCGUCGACUACAGAGCGCUCAACGCGCUCACCAUCAAAGACGCGUUCCCCAUACCGGUGGUCGACGAGCUCUUGGAUGAGCUCCACGGGGCCUGCUACUUCACCAAGCUCGACCUCCGCUCGGGGUAUCAUCAAGUCCGCAUGCGGCCGGCAGACAUCCACAAGACGGCGUUCCGCACGCACGAUGGCCUCUAUGAGUUCCUGGUCAUGGCCUUUGGGCUAUGCAAUGCUCCGGCCACGUUCCAGGCUUUGAUGAAUGAUGUUCUUCGUCCGUUCCUCCGUCGUUUUGUGCUGGUGUUCUUUGACGAUAUUUUGAUUUACAGCAGCACUUGGGCCGAUCACCUACGCCAUCUUCGUGCGGUCUUCGACGAGCUGCAGCGCCACAAGCUCUUCCUCAAGCGCUCCAAGUGCGCGUUCGCUGCAGCGUCGGUCGCGUACCUGGGCCACGUCGUCUCUGCUGCUGGCGUCGCUAUGGACCCCGCCAAGCUCCAAGCUGUGCGGGACUGGCCGCAGCCACGGUCCGCCCGGGCAGUGCGGGGGUUCCUGGGGCUAGCCGGCUACUACCGCAAGUUCGUCCACAAUUAUGGGACCAUCGCAGCACCUCUCACCGCCCUGCUGAAGAAGGACGGCUUCUCGUGGUCCGCCGAGGCCGCUGCUGCGUUCGAUGCCCUCAAGGACGCGGUAACCUCGGCGCCGGUGCUCGCCAUGCCGGACUUCUCCAAGCAGUUCGUCGUCGAAUGCGACGCAUCGUCGCAUGGCUUCGGGGCGGUACUGGUCCAGGAGGGCCACCCCAUCGCCUUCUUCAGCCGUCCCGUGGCGCCACGUCACCAAGCUCUCGCCGCCUACGAACGCGAGCUCAUCGGCCUUGUGCACGCAGUUCGCCAUUGGCGGCCGUAUUUAUGGGGGCGCCGCUUCACUGUCAAGACCGACCACUAUAGCCUCAAGUACCUGCUGGACCAGCGCUUGUCAACCAUCCCUCAGCAUCACUGGGUUGGCAAGCUGCUGGGCUUCGACUUCACCGUGGAGUACAAGCCGGGGCACUCGAACGCCGUGGCUGAUGCUCUCUCACGGCGGGACACUGUCGAGGAGGGCACGGUCCUAGUGCUGUCCGCGCCCCGCUUCGAGUUCGUGCAGCGUCUGCGCCAGGCUCACGCAACCGAUCCGGCACUCGUCGCCCUCCAGCAGGAGAUCAGUGCGGGCACACGGGCGCUCCCCUGGGCCCUGUCCGACGGGCUGGUCACGUACAGCGGGCGGCUGUACCUUCCACCGGCCUCCCCCUUGCUGCAGGAGGCUCUGCGCGCCGUCCACGAGGAGGGCCAUGAGGGGGUCCAGCGCACGCUGCACCGACUUCGUCGCGAUUUUCACUUCCCUCACAUGAAGACGGUGGUGCAGGACUUUGUGCGGGGCUGCUCCAUCUGCCAGCGCCACAAGUCAGAGCAUCUUCACCCGGCGGGGCUCCUACUACCACUACCCGUGCCGCAGGGGGUGUGGUCCGACAUCGCCAUGGACUUCGUCGAGGCCCUUCCCCGCGUUAAGGGCAAGUCCGUCAUCCUCACCGUCGUCGACAGAUUCAGCAAGUAUUGCCACUUCAUUCCUUUGGCGCAUCCGUACUCGGCGGAGGGGGUGGCCCAAGCAUUCUUCGCAGACGUCGUCCGGCUCCACGGCAUUCCGCAGUCCAUCGUGUCCGACCGCGACACGGUGUUCACUUCCAACUUUUGGCGCGAGUUGAUGCGCCUGAGUGGCACAAAACUGCAGAUGUCGACAGCUUUUCACCCCCAGACGGACGGGCAGUCCGAAUCCGCUAACAAAGUCAUCAUCAUGUAUUUGCGUUGCCUGACAGGAGACAGACCUCGCGACUGGCUGCGGUGGCUUCCAUGGGCAGAGUACGUCUUCAACACCGCGUUCCAGUCCUCGCUUCAGGACACUCCAUUCCGUGUUGUGUACGGCCGGGAUCCGCCGUCCAUUCGCUCCUACGAGCCGGGCGAGACCCGGGUCGCUGCAGUGGCUCAGACCAUGGAGGAACGCGCUGAGUUCAUCGCCGACGUCAAGCACCGCCUCGAGCAAGCCCAGGCAGUUCAAAAACGCCACUACGACCGGGGUCAUCGGCCGGUCUCGUACCUGGUGGGAGACUGGGUGCUCCUUCGCCUUCGACAGAGGCCUGCUGCGUCCCUGUCCAGGGCUCCUGCCGGCAAGCUGAAGCCCAAGUUCUACGGCCCGUAUCGGGUGGUGGAGCUCAUCAACGACGUCGCCGUCCGCCUCGACCUGCCGCCCCAAGCUCGCAUCCACGACGUGUUCCACGUGGGCCUUCUCAAGAAGUUCCACGGCGAGCCCCCAGCCGCUCCGCCUCCCCUCCCUCCGCUCCGCCAUGGCGCUGUGGUGCCCGAGCCUGAGCAAGUGGUCAAGUCACGCUUGGCCAGGGGCGUGCGUCAAGUCCUCAUCAAAUGGAAGGGGUCAUCACCGGCUUCAGCUACAUGGGAAGAUGUUGACGUCUUCCGCGCUGCGUACCCACAGUUCCAGCUCGAGGACGAGCUGCCUCUCGAGGAGGGGAGAGAUGUCAUGUGGGGAAAUACUUACACUAGGCGUCGCAGGCUGCGUGAUGUGCGCAGGGCCGCUGAGCGCGCCCAGAGCCUGGCCAAGGGGGCUGGCGCCGUUAGUGGCUAGCCAGGCGCCCAGGCGGCUUGGACAGAUUAGGAGAGUCCAGGUUUGGUAAGAUAGGGAUUGUUUAGAAAGAGAUUAUCAGGUUUCCUUAAGUUUAGAGGAUUAGUUUCCUUUCUUGUUGGGAGUCCAGGCUAUAAAGCCUUGUAAUUGGAGACCUUUUGAAAUCAAGCAAGAUUAAACCUAUCUCUCUUCUUCUUCCUCUCAAGCCGCCGGCCAGGGGGCAUAACCCGACCAGCGAGGAUAGGCGAGGGGGCAUAACCCCGCCAGUUAUCACGGACCAAGGCUACGAGCUACGUAGCCGAGGGCCGCCGUCGCUGGGCAAUAACGCCCUUGACAAUUGAAAAGUUUGAUCUUAUAUAAAAAGAAACAACACCCGUGCCCUUUUCAGUACACCCCUUUUACAUAGGUACAUGAAUUUUGAUGCUAACUAAAUGGUGGAAAUUAAGGGAUAGUCUUCGUGAGGCCAUUUUCACUUUCAGAGUUUAGCCAUUUCAGUUGUCUGCCAUCAGGCCCAAGCCAUUAACUUUGGAUCUGAACUCUCAAGCACCCUACUUGAUUGGGGUCUUUGUUCUAUGGAAAAGAUGAGAGUAUUGUCAAAUGAAUUGUUGAGCAGUGUGAAGG
rnacentral:lncRNA from 1 species